GAUGAACGCUGGCGGCGUGCCUAAUACAUGCAAGUCGAGCGAACAGAUGAGGAGCUUGCUCCUCUGACGUUAGCGGCGGACGGGUGAGUAACACGUGGAUAACCUACCUAUAAGACUGGGAUAACUUCGGGAAACCGGAGCUAAUACCGGAUAAUAUAUUGAACCGCAUGGUUCAAUAGUGAAAGACGGUUUUGCUGUCACUUAUAGAUGGAUCCGCGCCGCAUUAGCUAGUUGGUAAGGUAACGGCUUACCAAGGCAACGAUGCGUAGCCGACCUGAGAGGGUGAUCGGCCACACUGGAACUGAGACACGGUCCAGACUCCUACGGGAGGCAGCAGUAGGGAAUCUUCCGCAAUGGGCGAAAGCCUGACGGAGCAACGCCGCGUGAGUGAUGAAGGUCUUCGGAUCGUAAAACUCUGUUAUUAGGGAAGAACAAAUGUGUAAGUAACUAUGCACGUCUUGACGGUAUCUAAUCAGAAAGCCACGGCUAACUACGU
rnacentral:rRNA from 1 species